rnacentral:rRNA from 1 species
AUGCACGCUGGCGGCGUUCCUAAUCCCUUCCAGUCGAGCGCACAGACCCUUAGCUUGCUCCUCUUUCGUUAUCGGCGGCCGGGUUCGUAACACUUUGUUAACCUACCUUUAAUUCUUGGUUUACUUCGGGAAACCUGAUCUAAUUCCGGUUUAUUUAUUUAACCCCUUGGUUUCAUUGUUAAAUUCGGUUUUUCUUUCACUUAUUCAUUUAUCAGCGCCGCAUUAGCUAGUUGGUAAGGUAACGGCUUAACAAGGCAACGAUGGGUAGCCGACAUGAGAGGGUGAUCGGCCACACGGGAACUGAGACACGGUCCAGACUCCUACGGGAGGCAGCAGUAGGGAAUAUGACGCAAUGGGCGAAAGCAUGACGGAGCAAAGCCGCGUGAGAGAAGAAGGACUUAGGAUCGUAAAAAUAUGUUAUUAGGGAAGAAAAAAAGUGUAAGAAAAAAAGCACGUAGUGACGGUAACGAAAAAGAAAGCAACGGCUAACUACGUG